GUAGCCGGACUGAGAGGUUGAACGGCCACAUUGGGACUGAGACACGGCCCAGACUCCUACGGGAGGCAGCAGUGGGGAAUAUUGCACAAUGGGGGAAACCCUGAUGCAGCGACGCCGCGUGGAGGAAGAAGGUCUUCGGAUUGUAAACUCCUGUUGUUGAGGAAGAUAAUGACGGUACUCAACAAGGAAGUGACGGCUAACUACGUGCCAGCAGCCGCGGUAAAACGUAGGUCACAAGCGUUGUCCGGAAUUACUGGGUGUAAAGGGAGCGCAGGCGGGAAGACAAGUUGGAAGUGAAAUCCAUGGGCUCAACCCAUGAACUGCUUUCAAAACUGUUUUUCUUGAGUAGUGCAGAGGUAGGCGGAAUUCCCGGUGUAGCGGUGGAAUGCGUAGAUAUCGGGAGGAACACCAGUGGCGAAGGCGGCCUACUGGGCACCAACUGACGCUGAGGCUCGAAAGUGUGGGUAGCAAACAGGAUUAGAUACCCUGGUAGUCCACACCGUAAACGAUGAUUAAUAGGUGUUGGAGGAUUGACCCCUUCAGUGCCG
rnacentral:rRNA from 1 species